rnacentral:rRNA from 1 species
AUAUCAAUAAGCGGAGGAAAAGAAACCAACAGGGAUUGCCUCAGUAACGGCGAGUGAAGCGGCAACAGCUCAAAUUUGAAAUCUGCCUCUAGGCCGAGUUGUAAUUUGUAGAAGAUGCUUCGGGUGUGGCACUGGUCUAAGUUCCUUGGAACAGGACGUCAUAGAGGGUGAGAAUCCCGUAUGUGACUGGCUGCCUUCGCCCAUGUGAAACUCCUUCGACGAGUCGAGUUGUUUGGGAAUGCAGCUCAAAAUGGGUGGUAAAUUUCAUCUAAAGCUAAAUAUUGGCCAGAGACCGAUAGCGCACAAGUAGAGUGAUCGAAAGAUGAAAAGCACUUUGAAAAGAGAGUUAAACAGUAUGUGAAAUUGUUGAAAGGGAAGCGCUUGCAACCAGACUUGAGCGCGGCGGUUCCCCUAGCCUUUUGGCUAGGCUAUUCCGUCGUGACCAGGCCAACAUCGGUUCUGAGGGUCGGUUAAAGGCCCCGGGAAUGUAUCUACCCACGGGUAGACUUAUAGACCGGGGUGUCAUGCGGCCUCUCGGGACCGAGGAACGCGCUUCGGCUCGGAUGUUGGCGUAAUGGUUGUCAGCGA